rnacentral:rRNA from 1 species
AUCAAAUGUCACACCACUUUGAUAAUGCCCAGCGUCGUCAGAUCUCAGAAUCUAAGCAGGGUUGGGUUAGUUGGUUAGGUCUUGGAUGGGAGACCGCUGGGAAUACCAGGUGCCACAGUGGACA